AACGAACGCUGGCGGCAGGCUUAACACAUGCAAGUCGAACGGCUGUAGCAAUACAGCAGUGGCAGACGGGUGAGUAACACGUGGGAACCUUCCUAGGGGUACGGAACAACUCAGGGAAACUUGAGCUAAUACCGUAUACGUCCGUGAGGAGAAAGAUUUAUCGCUCUUAGACGGGCCCGCGUCGGAUUAGGUAGUUGGUGGGGUAACGGCCUACCAAGCCUACGAUCCGGAGCUGAACUGAGAGGAUGAUCAGCCACACUGGGACUGAGACACGGCCCAGACGCCUACGGGAGGCAGCAGUGGGGAAUCUUGGACAAUGGGCGCAAGCCUGAUCCCGCCAUGCCGCGUGAGUGAAGAAGGCCUUAGGGUUGUAAAGCUCUUUUGCCAGGGACGAUAAUGACGGUACCUGGAGAAUAAGCCCCGGCAAACUUCGUGCCAGCCGCCGCUGUAAGAC
rnacentral:rRNA from 1 species